UACGUAGGGGGCGAGCGUUGUCCGGAUUUAUUGGGCGUAAAGAGCGUGUAGGCGGCCAGGUAGGUCUGCUGUGAAAACUCGAGGCUCAACCUCGAGACGUCGGCGGAAACCAUCUGGCUAGAGUCCGGAAGAGGAGAGUGGAAUUCCUGGUGUAGCGGUGGAAUGCGCAGAUAUCAGGAGGAACACCAAUAGCGAAGGCAGCUCGCUGGGACGGUAUUGACGCUAAGGCGCGAAAGCGUGGGGAGCAAACAGG
rnacentral:rRNA from 1 species